rnacentral:tRNA from 1 species
UUUAAUAUGGCAGAAUAGUGCAUUGAAUUUAAACUUCAAUUAAAAAGACCAUUAUACAUCUUUUAUUAAAA